GGUAACUACUACUGGAGGUAAUUACUAACAAGAACACAAUGAUUGGAAGCACUUCUUCCCUCCUUUUAUAGCAAUCAUACUGCUCUUACAAUCUAAUUAGUAUGAUGGUGAUUUCACCUGACUAGUACUUAUUCACACUUUCACAUGUCCUGCUGAUAUGAUUAGUCAAUUGAUGUUAGCUGGUCAUUUUGUGUCAGGAUCACACAGUUUUUUUGUGUGUGAAAUUUUUUUUUUUUUUUUUUGGCCAAUUAAGAACAGGGAUACCAUGGUCCUUAACCCAGGUACUGGUAGCUUUGGCACUGUGUGCAGGUGCCAAGUCCUGUUGGAAAAUGAAAUCUGCAUCUCCAUAAAGUUGGUCAGCAGCAGGAAGCAUGAAGUGCUCUAAAACUUCCUGGUAUACAGCUGCAUUGACCUUGGACCUCAGAAAACACAGUGGACCAACACCAGCAGAUGACAUGGCACCCCAAACCAUCACUGACUGUGGAAACUUUACACUGGACCUCAAGCAACGUGGAUUGUGUGCCUCUCCUCUCUUCCUCCAGACUCUGGGAACCUGAUUUCUAAAGGAAAUGCAAAAUUUACUUUCAUCAGAGAACAUAACUUUGGACCACUCAGCGGCAGUCCAGUCCUUUUUGUCUUUAGCCCAGGUGAGACGCUUCUGACGCUGUCUGUUGUUCAAGAGUGGCUUGAUACAAGGAAUGUGACAGCUGAAACCCAUGUCUUGCACAUGUCUGUGCGUAGUGGUUCUUGAAGCACUGACUCCAGCUGCAGUCCACUCUUUGUGAAUCUCCCCCACAUUUUUGAAUGGGUUUUGUUUCACAAUCGUCUCCAGGGUGCGGUUAUCCCUAUUGCUUGUACACUUUUUUCUACCACAUCUUUUCCUUCCCUUCGCCUCUCUAUUAAUGUGCUUGGACAAAGAGCUCUGUGAACAGCCAGCCUCUUUUGCCAUGACUUUUUGUGUCUUGCCCUCCUUGUGCAAGGUGUCAAUGGUUGUCUUUUGGACAACUGUCAAGUCAGCAGUCUUCCCCAUGAUUGUGUAGCCUACAGAACUAGACUGAGAGACCAUUUAAAGGCCUUUGCAGGUUUUUUGAGUUAAUUGGCUGAUUAGAGUGUGGCACCAGGUGUCUUCAGUAUUGAACCUUUUCACAAUAUUCUAAUUUUCUGAGAUACUGAAUUUGGGAUUUUCCUUAGUUGUCAGUUAUAAUCAUCAAAAUUAAAAGAAAUAAACAGUUGAAAUAUAUCAGUCUGUGUGUAAUGAAUGAAUAUAAUAUACACGUUUCACUUUUUGAAUGGAAUUAGUGAAAUAAAUCAACUUUUUGAUGAUAUUCUAAUUAUAUGACCAGCAC
ensembl:lncRNA